GAUGAACGCUAGCUACAGGCUUAACACAUGCAAGUCGAGGGGCAGCAUGGUCUUAGCUUGCUAAGGCCGAUGGCGACCGGCGCACGGGUGAGUAACACGUAUCCAACCUGCCGUCUACUCUUGGACAGCCUUCUGAAAGGAAGAUUAAUACAAGAUGGCAUCAUGAGUCCGCAUGUUCACAUGAUUAAAGGUAUUCCGGUAGACGAUGGGGAUGCGUUCCAUUAGAUAGUAGGCGGGGUAACGGCCCACCUAGUCUUCGAUGGAUAGGGGUUCUGAGAGGAAGGUCCCCCACAUUGGAACUAAGACACGGUCCAAAAUCCUACGGGAGGCAGCAGUGAGGAAUAUUGGUCAAUGGGCGAGAGCCUGAACCAGCCAAGUAGCGUGAAGGACGACUGCCCUAUGGGUUGUAAACUUCUUUUAUAAAGGAAUAAAGUCGGGUAUGGAUACCCGUUUGCAUGUACUUUAUGAAUAAGGAUCGGCUAACUCCGUG
rnacentral:rRNA from 1 species